rnacentral:rRNA from 1 species
UACGUAGGAGGCGAGCGUUGUCCGGAAUUACUGGGCGUAAAGAGCGCGUAGGCGGUCGGGUACGACCUGUGUGAAAGCCCCCGGCUCAACUGGGGAGGGUCAUAGGUAACGGCCAGACUAUACGAGUGCAGGAGAGGGAAGUGGAACUCCGGGAGUAGCGGUGAAAUGCGUAGAGACCCGGAGGAACACCAGUGGCGAAGGCGGCUUCCUGGCCUGCGACUGACGCUGUGGCGCGAAAGCUAGGGGAGCAAACGGG